rnacentral:lncRNA from 1 species
GUUCGGAGCGCCGGCUCGCUCGUCUUCGUGGAUAUGAGGCACCACGGUCCACUAUCAGAGUCUCCUCGAUGUUAACAUUGAGAGGAGGAGGGACCCCUUCAUUUUCCUCGGGCACAUGUACUUUGCCCUUCCCGAUGGUGCGCCUUCUCUUCCUCUUCAGAGAAGGACCUUGGCUCGGGUUCAGUCCCGACACAAUCCGGCCCUCCGCGCUCACGACCAAUGGUGCGGUGCGACGCGCGGAAGAAUC